rnacentral:snRNA from 2 species
UCACUUACCUGGACGGGGUCAAUGGGUGAUCAAGAAGGUCCAUGGCCUAGGUUGGUGACCUCCAUUGCACUUCGGAGGGGUGCCCGCCUAAGGUCGGCCCAAGUGGUAGAGCCUACGUCAUAAUUUGUGGCAGUGGGGGCUUGCGUUCGCGCAGCCCCUGC